GAAGGACCUGUCCCCUACCUAGCCUCAGGUCCAGAUCACGAGACCAAGCCCCCACCCCUGUAAGCACGUUUGUCGGUUACACCUGGCUGAGGCCCUGUGCCACCGGAAGAGAGGCCUCAGUGAUCAAGAAAUAAAAGCGUAAAGAAGAUGGAAUAUGCUGAGAUGGUGGACAGAAACUCCCAGCUGUCUGCUGCUGGAGUGCCUUUGGAAUCCCAAGGAUGGGAAAAGAAAGAGGAAGGGCUGGGCGGAGCUCCGAGGUGGACAGAGUACGAUCCGUUGUUCGUCCAGCUACGGACCAGAGCCACUCCAUUUGAGCAGCCACUGAGUUUGCUCCCAUCUCUGUAAGCAGGAGAGGGGCUCACAGCAGAUGGCCAGAAUGAACAGGAGUCGGGGUUCUGGCUCAGGGCUGUGUAAUUCUUGUGUUUUGUUUAUGGAGAGGAAAGAGGAUCCCUUUUCCUGGGAACUUAGAAAGAAACGGAAGGUUUGGACAGGUCUGAGCUGGUCUGCCCCCCUUAUCUCCGCCUUCACACCGGACACACCCAACAGAACCCCAAGUUAUGACUGUGUGAGACCAGACUACAGCUCUCCAAAUGUUUCUUUGGCCUAUUCUGAGGUAAUGAGUUUGGAAAGACCAAGUGUGACCACUGUGGCUGGAAGCAACUUAAACCCACGAAGAGACUCCGCCUUGUCUUCACCAUUGAGAGGGGCUGAGAAUUCCAUCACCUGGAAGGCUCUAUCUUCCUAAGGAACCAGCUCUUACCCAGCAUGCAUCUCUGUCCUAAACAUAACACCACUCUUACUCCUUUCCCAGGGUUAUGCAAACAGUAGUGGGUUGCCUGCAAGUUGUGCAUGGAGCCAGGGAUGCACUUUCCUGAGCUGUCCUCCAGGCUGAUAGAACUGACCUGUCCACUCUUGGCUUUAUCCUGCCUGCCUAUGUUUCCACCAACGUAUCUGAAAAGUCUUGCUUUAUGCUUUUUCUUUGUUCUGUUGCUAUGGAAACUGCUUCCACCUUAGAACAUGGAAUUUGGAGUAGCCAGAAUGUUUUCCUGGCUGUGGUCACUCACGGAAUGGACUGACUCUUUUCUCCUGUAAGAAUUCGGGAUUGGACCACCGGCUGUCUGUUAGGCACCCACUGGAAGUGAUUUGAAAAUGAGAUUUCGAAGAAAAGGUUUGCAGGAGCUGCGUCUGCCGGAAGAUGGAUUCCCUUUCCGGCCACCAGUUCCUGCCCUGCUUGACUUCCUUCAAUGAUGAAGUUCUUAUUGAUAAGAUUAACCAACAGCCUACAGUCUGGCUUAAAGUGGAGGGAAUUAACCAACAGCCUACAACCUGGCUUAAAGUGGAGGGAAAGAAUGUGCCCCCUCAUCUUUAUGUAUGGCCGAAGGAAUAAUGAGUACUGGAGACACAGAGACAUGAAGACACAGGAAGGGUGUUUCAGGAGAGACAGUAGCCACAAGCCAGGGACUACAGGCAACCCUUGGAUGACUGGAAAUAGGAAAAGGGCAAGGCUUAAUAGUCUUCAGAGAGGCAUCCUUGUCCUUGUGGGAGUUUGCAGCCCAGGAGAGGGUUGCUUGCACAGAGCGCGUGGUGGUCACCCCAAGACUGCCUGGGAUGAGAAGUGAAUCAGGGUACUCAGGACUUCACUUGAAUCUUCAAAUGACUAAAGAAACGAAUCCCUAGGCGAGUAGGCGGGACUUCCGGGUUGGACGCAGGGACUCCAGAGGCAGAGAAGGGGAGUGGGCUUUUGGACAGGAAGUACGGUGGAGCAAAAAUGUAGGUUGAGGAGAUCCCUGGUUCAGACGUAUCUUUCUGAUUGGAUUUGAUUUUAGCACUUCUGACCUCCAUAUCCAUUAGAUAAGGACUAUGGAGAAGUUUUGCUCAAUGGCUGAAGCUUGCAGAGGGAAGAUAUUUAUCAAAUUAAUUUCCCAGGCUUUGUUCCGGUAAAAAAAAGAGUCAGCUGAUGCUUCAAAGAAUGUUAAACUUCUAAUUCAAAGAUUCGCCCCGCCUCCGUCUCCCCCUGGUUUUUCUUUCCUGCUCAGUUUAUCCACUACAAAAAUUAAAUACAGCAGGGAUAGACUGAUCGUGGCUGAUCUCAUCCAUCGGGGCUGCAGCUGAUAUUCAAGGAAAUACAAGCCUGGAAUUGGGAGCCUCAUCGUGCAGCUUGGUGGUUCCCACAAUGAGGCUGAGGUCACACGGAUCACAAGAAGUCAGUGUGUGUGUGACAUAAAACUG
rnacentral:lncRNA from 1 species